GCGCGACACCGGCGACGCCGUGUGUACUCGCCACUACGUUAACGGCGCUGUGUCAACAAAGCGUGAGAGGUUAGGUCGCGACGCGACUUUGUAAUGUUGUAAUUUGUGAGAACCUUCCGAUCGUGAGUGAAAGGUGUAUUCAAUGUUUCUGCAAUCUUUCGGUGCUGUGUGCACAUCGAGUUAACGACCAAAGCCCGAGGUCGUGACAAAUGGAACAACCAAUGUUGAGAGACUGUCGCAGCUGCAGCUUCCCAGAAAUGACGUUUACGACGACGAGUUACGUCGGCUCGCUACCUGCCCAGUUAACAUUUUGCCGGCAGUUUACAAAAAUAAUGUUGCGCCCGAGUUUAAUUCAACAUUGCAAGUAAACAAAGCACGCAAACUGAGUACUACAACUUUACAGUAACUUUGCGGCAACUGCGAUAAAAAAUUUAUGAUUUUGGCAAAAUUGUGACAACUUUGCGAAUAUUUUGCUGACAACGUGCAAGCAAAAGUUUCAUUCAAUAAAUACUCCUGCCAUUAUCGUAGACAAAAAGACAGCGAAGUACAAGUUUAUGGCAACAAUUGCGAUAAAAAGUGACGACUUUGCAAAUAUUUUGACCACAAACAUUAUUGCUAACGUAUAUCGGCAGUUUGGCUGACAACAUGCAGGCAAGAGUUUAAUUCAAUAAAUAUUCUCGCCAUUAUCACGACGGUAACAGUUGCUAGCAACUGCAUUGCACUGCUUUGCUGUUGCACAAAACCUUGUCUGGGUGAGUUAAUGUCUAUUGAACUUUUUGCCCGAAACGCUUGCACUAUAUACUUGUUUUACACUUAUUGUUAGAUCAGUAGUCUUCAACUCUAGAAAUCAAUGUGAUACAUCUGCUAAAUCGCUGCUAUUCAAUUAUUGCCAAAACUAAUAAAUUAUAUAUAUAUAUAUAUAUAUAUAUAUAUGUACGUUUAUGCCGUUUUGUCCACACGGUCGGUAUACAAAGAUUGCAACGACAUUCACAUGGCAAAUUUUAAACCUUUAAUAAAUUAUCCAUGUUCUCUAUACGUAUAUUUGUCUACGACGGACGCUAAUGUAACGUUAAUUUGUACUAUCGAGCAAGAAUCAGCGACGUCCUUGCCGUGACCGAAGCCUCGCUCCAUGCCCGGCUCUACUAGGUUUAUUUGUGCGUUGUCAGAAACC